UGCUGGCUGCUCUUACCUUAAACUGGU
rnacentral:piRNA from 1 species